GUCUCUUUGUGUGUUAUAAAUAAAGAGUCGGGCCUGCUCGGUGAAUAAUUGUUUUAACAGCUGCGGUAUUUUAACUGUACUAAGGUAGCAUAAUAAUUUGCCUUAUAAUUUGAGGCUAGAAUGAAUGGUUUGACGAAGGUUAAUCUGUCUCUAUUCUAUUUUUUAGAAAUUAAUUUUUAAAGUGAAAAAGCUUAUAUUUUUUAAAGGGACGAGAAGACCCUAUUGAGCUUAUAAUUUUAUUACUAUUAUUAUUAUAUGUGUGUAGUAGUAUAUAAAUUUUAAUUGGGGUGAUUAGGGAAUAAAAUAAUAAAUAUAGUAACUUCCUUAGAAUUAAUAUUGUUGGGUAAAGUAACCAAUAUUAUUGCUUAUAUUAUAGUUACCAUAGGGAUAACAGCGUAAUUUAUUUAGAGAGUUCUUAUUAAAAAAUGAGAUUGCGACCUCGAUGUUGGAUUAAAGUAACCUUAAGGUGCAGAAGCUUUAAUAGGUAAAUCUGUUCGAUUUUUAAAACUUUACA
rnacentral:rRNA from 2 species